AAGGGGUGAAAUCAGGAAUAAGUGAAUGGUCCCAAAAGAGGGUUGAAAAGGAGUGGCGUGGUGGUUGCCUUCGCCUGGACCAUUUUGUAUUUUAUUUUAUUUAUUUAUUUAUUUUUGUUCAUAAUUCACUCACAAUGAACCUCUUUGCUCUUUUUUUUUUUAACUUCUCACUUUUGACCGUUUGCUGCUCACUUUCAAUAAAGUCUUUUUUGACUCGCUUCUCCCCAUACCAGAAAAAAGGUCACUUCCACAUGCUACAAAAUUG
rnacentral:lncRNA from 1 species